UGGGGAAUUUUGGACAAUGGGGGCAACCCUGAUCCAGCAAUGCCGCGUGUGUGAAGAAGGCCUUCGGGUUGUAAAGCUCUUUUGUUAGGGAAGAAACGGCUUUGGCUAAUAUCCAGAGCUAAUGACGGUACCGGAAGAAUAAGCACCGGCUAACUACGUGCCAGCAGCCGCGGUAAUACGUAGGGUGCAAGCGUUAAUCGGAAUUACUGGGCGUAAAGCGUGCGCAGGCGGUUGUGUAAGACAGAUGUGAAAGCCCCGGGCUUAACCUGGGAAUUGCAUUUGUGACUGCACGGCUAGAGUUUGUCAGAGGGGGGUAGAAUUCCACGUGUAGCAGUGAAAUGCGUAGAUAUGUGGAGGAAUACCGAUGGCGAAGGCAACCCCCUGGGAUAACACUGACGCUCAUGCACGAAAGCGUGGGGAGCAAACA
rnacentral:rRNA from 1 species